GUGGGGAAUAUUGGUCAAUGGGCGAGAGCCUGAACCAGCCAAGUAGCGUGAAGGAUGACUGCCCUACGGGUUGUAAACUUCUUUUGUCCAGGAAUAAAAAAUCCCUCGUGAGGGGUCUUGCAGGUACUGGUUGAAUAAGGACCGGCUAAUUCCGUGCCAGCAGCCGCGGUAAUACGGAAGGUCCGAGCGUUAUCCGGAUUUAUUGGGUUUAAAGGGUGCGUAGGCGGGGAAGCAAGUCAGCCGUAAAAUUGUUGAGCUCAACUCAAUCCCGCGGUUGAAACUGCCUCCCUUGAGUACACUAGAGGGCGAUGGAAUUCGUGGUGUAGCGGUGAAAUGCAUAGAUAUCACGAAGAACUCCGAUUGCGUAGGCAGUCGCCUGGGGUGCCACUGACGCUGAGGCACGAAGGUGCGGGUAUCAAACAGG
rnacentral:rRNA from 1 species